UUCAAGAUUCUAAGAGCAAACGGUGGAUGCCUUGGCAUCUGGAGCCGAAGAAGGACGUAUAAAUCUGCGAUAAGCCUCGGGGAGCUGAUAAUAGAGCUUUGAUCCGAGGAUCUCCGAAUGGGGAAACCCCGCCAGGCCCUUUGGGUGACCUGGUGACUCCCGCCUGAAUAUAUAGGGCGGGUAGAGGGAACGUGGGGAAGUGAAACAUCUCAGUACCCACAGGAAGAGAAAGCAAAAGCGAUUCCGUUAGUAGUGGCGAGCGAAACCGGAAGAGGCCAAACCGAUCAUGUGUGAUAUCCGGUAGGAGUUGCAUGGUCGGGGUUGCGGGACUUUCCGUACAGUUCUACCGAGCUGUGAGGGCAAUGAGCGCGAUAUAGACGAAUGGUCUUGAAAGGCCAGUCAUAGAGGGUGCGAACCCCGUAGUCGAAAUGUCGUCGCCUGUCCGGAGAGUAUCCCAAGUAGCACGGGGCCCGAGAAAUCCCGUGUGAAUCUGUCAGGACCACCUGAUAAGCCUAAAUACUCCCAGAUGACCGAUAGCGGACAAGUACCGUGAGGGAAAGGUGAAAAGUACCCCGGGAGGGGAGUGAAAUAGUACCUGAAACCGUUUGCUUACAAACCGUUGGAGCACCCUUGUUGGUGUGACAGCGUGCCUUUUGAAGAAUGAGCCUGCGAGUUAGUGAUAUGUGGCGAGGUUAACCCGUGAGGGGCAGCCGUAGCGAAAGCGAGUCUUAAUAGGGCGUAUGAGUCGCAUGUUCUAGACCCGAAGCGAAGUGAUCUAUCCAUGGCCAGGUUGAAGCGACGGUAAGACGUCGUGGAGGACCGAACCCACUUCAGUUGAAAAUGGAGGGGAUGAGCUGUGGAUAGGGGUGAAAGGCCAAUCAAACUUCGUGAUAGCUGGUUCUCUCCGAAAUGCAUUUAGGUGCAGCGUUGCGUGUUUCUUGCCGGAGGUAGAGCUACUGGAUGGACGA
rnacentral:rRNA from 1 species